rnacentral:rRNA from 1 species
GCGCGAAACCUCCGCAAUGCGAGCAAUCGCGACGGGGGACCCCAAGUGCCACUCUUAACGGGGUGGCUUUCUUAAGUGUAAAAAGCUUUUGGAAUAAGGGCUGGGCAAGACCGGUGCCAGCCGCCGCGGUAACACCGGCAGCCCAAGUGGUGGCCAUUUUAUUGGGCCUAAAGCGUUCGUAGCCGGCCUGAUAAGUCUCUGGUGAAAUCCCGCAGCUUAACUGUGGGAAUUGCUGGAGAUACUAUCAGGCUUGAGGUCGGGAGAGGUUAGAGGUACUCCCAGGGUAGGGGUGAAAUCCUAUAAUCCUGGGAGGACCACCUGUGGCGAAGGCGUCUAACUGGAACGAACCUGACGGUGAGUAACGAAAGCCAGGGGCGCGAACCGGAUUAGAAACCCGAGUAG